AACUGCUCUGUCCUUCAGUAACAGCCUCCACAACAUCACACUGUUGAUAUCAGACUGAAAUGACGAAUGGAUGAUGAAAAUAAGCUCCUAAAUCUAACAUUGGGAUUCUUCAGAAGGAUCUGUGAAACAGCUGCAGCAGCACAGCCAGAAACAUUAUAAGGUUUGGAACAACAUGAGGAGGUCUUACUGUGCAGGGCCGCUGGUCCGCGUCACUCUGUGUUAGCAUAAGAACAGCUUAUUAAAGACAGAGAACAUCACCAUAGGCCAACCCUGAAGAUGAA